UCUUGAUUCAGACAAAUAGAAGAACUAUACAUUUAUUGAAUCAUCAAGUGCAAGUAAUAGUAUCACAAUUGCUACAAUACAUCCAUAUCCACUUCUUGAAUCCAAAUAUAAUCCGGGCUCCAACAAAUUCGUAAAAAAAUGCCGAAAAAGCAUUUCCAAGCACCUUACACACAAGCCCACCAAGAAUUAGCAACAAAAAUUUCAGCUCAAGUAAUCUAAGUUAAAAUACAACCAUAAAAGUAACACAAAAAGGACCAAAAAGAUUCUAUUACCAUAAAGAUUAGUAUUAAUGGUUUGUUCAAUUGCUGAUAAAGGGACCUCAGCAAGGGGACCAAUGCAUUCUACUCCAGCAUUAUUGACUACAAUAUCUAUGCGGCCGCGCUUCUCCAGAGCAAUCGACAGCGCGAGAAGAACACUCUCACCAGAAGAUACGUCGAGCUCUUGGAGGAAGAAUCGUGGGUCAUCUUGAAAAUCAGACAUAACCGGGUGGUGACCACCACCAGACAAUUCUUCGAGGCAAACGCACGGACCAAUGCGUGGCCUAUGCCCCACCUGAACAUCCGGUCAAUAGGACUACCCGUUUCUCGUAAAGAUCCAUGAGCAGAGCAAUAUUGUGGAAUUCUGCGAAUGAACGUGAUUCCUAGAGUUUCCUUUUUGGCUGUGAGACUCAG
rnacentral:lncRNA from 1 species